CCUACGGGUGGCAGCAGUGAGGAAUAUUGGUCAAUGGCCGUAAGGCUGAACCAGCCAAGUAGCGUGAGGGAAGACUGCCCUAUGGGUUGUAAACCUCUUUUAUGCGGGGAUAAAGGUGUCCACGUGUGGAUGUUUGCAGGUACCGCAUGAAUAAGGACCGGCUAAUUCCGUGCCAGCAGCCGCGGUAAUCCGGAAGGUCCGGGCGUUAUCCGGAGUUAUUGGGUUUAAAGGGAGCGUAGGCCGGUCUUUAAGCGUGCCGGGAAAUUGUGUGGCUCAACCAUGAGAGUGCGGCGCGAACUGGAGACGUUGAGUGCGCGGAAGGCAGGCGUAAUUCGUGGUGUAGCGGUGAAAUGCUUAGAGAUCACGAAGAACCCCGAUUGCGAAGGCAGCCUGCCGCAGCGUUACUGACGCUGAAGCUCGAAAGCGCGGGUAUCGAACAGGAUUAGAUACCCGAGUAGUC
rnacentral:rRNA from 1 species